UCUCUCUCUCCCCACCCCAAUAAAUAAAUAAGCUUUAAAAAGAAAGAAAGAAAGAAAUGGGCAAAUGAAAGAAGGCAACCCCAUUUCUGUAAUCUCCUUGUAGAAGAUCUCCAUAUUGUAAACAGAUUGCUUUUCCAAAAGUCAAUCUCUACCAUGAUUGUUAACAAACUCAGAAGAAAUUUUCUCUAGACAGAACAUGAUAAAUUGUAGGUAGAACUCCAGGCUAACCCACAAGAGGGAGUUUAACUAAAAUGCUACAUAUUUGUUACAGAAGAAAAGUAGAAAAUAAUCCUGUUGAAAUAUCUUCAAGAAGUUUCAUAAGAUAUCAUUUCACUUUGAAAGCAAAUACUUAAGAAAAAGCAGUUUUAAUUAAGAUUUGGCUUACAGAAAUGAGGUUCUGUGCAGAUACCGAAGGGGUUUUCAAGAAACUUUGAGGAAGUUAGAGGUUUAUAGCACAACCCUGAUGUAUCUCAAGUAUCCAGAAUAGUCCCAGACACAUUGUUGGAUGUGCAGUGAAUAUAUAUCGAGUGCCUGCUGGUUGAACUUUAUUUUCACUUCAGGAACUAUGACUUUCCCAUCUCUUAUAAAGGCACAGUCAUUAGAGCUAUAUUCAUGUCAUAGAUGAAAUAAAGAAGGGGAAAGAGGACAAAGGGGAAUGUUGAGAAGCACUGAUGUGACAUGUAGGUUACCUGAGACAUAAUUAAUGAUCAACAAAGAAAAACCCAGAGAUUACUUUGCAUGGUCCUCUCCUCAUCAUUUUACCCAAGGCAAAAUAAAGAAGGGGAUAGGAAAAGUUUUGUGCCUUGCAUUUCCUGGGCCAGCCACCAAGAGGUGCUGGUCAGAGCUCUUUGCAGGUGGGAGGAGAAAGAGAGAAGCCGAAAUAAGAUUCUUUUGAGUGUAUAGCCUUAGUUAGAGAGGGAGUGUUGUAUAUCUUUAAUGGAUUAUAUGUAGAGGAUAUAUUUUAAACCUUCAUUAAUGAAUGAAAAUAUUAAACUGGUAUAGGAUAUUGGAAAGAGCACUGGGCAAAGAGUCAGACCUGCAUUUCAACUUUUAGCUCCUCUACUUAAUAGUCACAUCACCUUGGCUGAGUUUCAUUUUUUUAAAACUUACUUCUCUUUUCUGCAAAAUGUGGUGAAAAACUUUCUUCCUUUUCUAUUUACUGUAAUUGUGAUUCAGUGAGAUUCUGCUCAAGAAACAACUUAGAAGACUGUAAAAUUACAUUUAUAUUUCCGAAAGUGUAAUGAUUUAUUCACCCAGGAAAGUGAAGAUGUUGGGCCAGGUGACCUCUGAGAUCAUUUCUCCUCUGAAAUUCUGAUGAUCAGCACGGCCUGGGUUUAAAUUAUCAUGUUAUUCCUCAUCAACAGUUUACUAAUGUCACUGACCCAAGAAAGAGGAAUGCUGUGGCCCAUUACAGGCUAUGCCCCUGGUUUGCUGAACACUUUGUGCCUGGAUUCUACUUCAAAGGACAACUGAGGAGCCCAUGAAACAUUUUGAACCAAGUUUUCCAGAGAUGGAUAAGCAAAGCCCGGAGGGGAUGAGACCCUGGAAAUCAGACAUGUUUGGAUGAGAAGGGAGCUGAGAAACCACCUAAAACCCGGCUAGCUGGCCCAGGCAGAGCAGGUGAGAUGUGUGGUCCCAUGGGCACCCCUGCACCCACACAGGAGCCAAGGUGAGAGACAGACAGAACAGCAGUAGCCACGAAGACAGACUUCACCCACUCACGCUUCUGCCUGGGGCCAACCUGGAAACCACAAUGAAGAGCCCCUGUAGUGCCAGAUAGACUCGUCCCAACGCUGAGAACUGUGCCAGUUUCUAAAGUAACAACUUGCCCCUGUCCCCCACAGUGCGCCUGGUGCCAUCUGCUGAGAUUCUUUCAAGUCUUCCCUGAUGGAAGUAACACUUGGCAGCAAAGAAGAAAAAGAAGAUGGCUGUCUGGUCCAGAGCAACUAGAGAGAUCAUUGCUCCAUUAACCAAAGCCUCCAUGAUGGCAGAAGGAUGGCCCCCCAAAGAUGGCCAUGUCCUAAUCCCCAGAACCUGAAGGGGCCACAAGCCCACAGCAAAGAGCAGAGGACCUCAGUCGUACAACUGCAUGGAACUGAAUUCUGCUGGCAAACCCAGUGAGCAGGGAAACAGAUUCUUCCCCCCGGGAGUUUCCGGUAAGGAAUACAGCUCUGACGAUAGCAGAGCUAUAUUGUGUUGGGCUUCUGAUCUAUAGAACUGUGAGACACAAAUUUAUGUUUUUUAAGGUACUAAAUUUGUGGUAAUUUGUUUUGGCAGCAACUUCCCACCCCACAGUGUAAAAGCCAAGCUGCUCAGAAUCCCCAUCUCCCUUUGUCUCUGACGUCAUUUCCUACUACUCUCCCCUGGGCUCCCCUCACCCCCUCCAUCAACUCCAGGGCCUGGACCAGAGUGAAACUUGUGAGGCAUGGACCUUGAGAUGCCAAAACAUUCAGUAAUCAAGAUAAUAUUUUAAUGACAUAUCAUCAUUAAUACAAAAGAAAAAGACAAAACUUUGGAAGAAAGGCAGGAUCCAACCCUGCGUUUGUACCCCUCGCCUUUGGCUAAUCCUAGACCUGAUCUUUGUUGCUCUGAACCCUCCAGGCACACUCAACCCCCAGUGCUUUGCCGUUUGCUUUUGCCCUAAAUAUCUGCAAGCCUUUCUCCCUCACCUGCUUCAGUCUUUGCUCAAAUUUCCCCCUUCUUAAUGAGCCUUCCCUGACCCUCUAUAUAAAGUUGCAGUGCCUCACGCCAGCACUCCUGGGCCGCCCUUGCUUUAUAUUUCCCCAAACAUGUUACAUGUCUAAUAUUCUAUUUUAUUAAUUUACUACUGUAGGGGAGAUAACAUUUCUUCUUUACCCAUCGAGGGUUUCUGGCAGGGAUGUCUUAACAGGUGAAGAGGAGGAGAGAAUACAAAUUUCAUUUAAUAAAAGUUUGCCCGUACAUAGGAGUCUUCACAGGAAAAGAAAGAUCCAAAGAAGCAUCUAGGCCCCAGGGCUUAUGUACAACGUUGAAAGGAGAGUGACGAUUGUGGAGAAGUAACUAAAAUAUAUGGGGAGACUAGAAGAAGAUAAAAGUUAUUUUAAUAAGGUCUGUUUGUACAAAUUUCCCUCGACCUUGACUCCCCAUCUCUGGUGAUAAAAAUGUUCUUUUCCUCCUGGUGUUAGGAGAGCAUCUUUCACAUUCGGAGUUUCAUCUCCUGUUUUCAGGAAGAAGAAAGGUCAAAGUGCUUUCUUUGCACCUGUUGGUUUUCAAGUGACUUUAGCUCAAAAUAAUAUGUCAAAGCAGCAUGUUUUGAGGUGGCAUGUUCUGAGCCCCUUUAUUUCUUAUUGUUUGUUGCUGUUUCACCAAGGCCUAACAGUAUGUGGCGGGUGUAGGCCUUCAAUUGGGGAGGAAUGAAGGAGGCAGGGAGAGAGGGGGAGGGCAAGAGAGGAAGGAAGGAGAAGGAAGAACAAAAGUGUGGCUAGUGUCAGUGGGGGAACAGGGUGGGUAUAUGUAUUCAAGGAAGAACUUUCCCCUCGGUUUAUUGAAACCUAAAAUCCCUGAAGAACUGUAGUAAAUUUCAAUCUGUCUAAGGAAAUAAAGAUUUAUAAGCAGGGUUAUUUUUUCCUCUCCCAAAAGGGAAAGCCAUCCAGAGCCAGUAUAGUCUAUUAGGUUAAUUAGCAGAUUUGGAUUAGCUGUGUGCUUUCUUUUCUAGGACAUUAGCUAAAUUCUGUUUCCACUGAAAUUCUGGGAAAUGUUUGAAUCCCAUGCAGUUUGUCCCAAGUCCUUUGAGACAGAGUCUCUGCAAGCUAUAUUUAAUGAUCCCUAGAGGUUUUAUUCUUGUCUAGUUUACUCUCAACAAAUAAAAAUUCAAUUUUGAUGA